AGAGUUUGAUCCUGGCUCAGGAUGAACGCUAGCGACAGGCUUAACACAUGCAAGUCGAGGGGCAGCAUGAGAGUAGCAAUACUCUUGAUGGCGACCGGCGCACGGGUGCGUAACGCGUAUGCAACCUACCUCCUACCCGGGGAUAACCCGGAGAAAUCCGGACUAAUACCUGAUGUGGUAUGUUUGAGACAACUCAUACAUAUUAAAGAUUCAUCGGUAGGGGAUGGGCAUGCGGAUGAUUAGCUGGUUGGUGAGGCAACGGCUCACCAAGGCGACGAUCAUUAGGGGUUCUGAGAGGAAGGUCCCCCACAUUGGUACUGAGACACGGACCAAACUCCUACGGGAGGCAGCAGUGAGGAAUAUUGGUCAAUGGGCGAGAGCCUGAACCAGCCAAGUCGCGUGAGGGAUGAAGGUCCUACGGAUUGUAAACCUCUUUUGCCGGGGAGUAACGGGUCGGACGUGUCCGGCCGUGAGAGUACCCGGAGAAAAAGCAUCGGCUAACUCCGUGCCAGCAGCCGCGGUAAUACGGAGGAUGCGAGCGUUAUCCGGAUUUAUUGGGUUUAAAGGGUGCGCAGGCGGCGCGUCAAGUCAGCGGUCAAAGUUCCGGGCUCAACCCGGUGAUGCCCGUUGAAACUGGCGUGCUCGAGUACGCGGGAGGAACGCGGAAUGCGUGGUGUAGCGGUGAAAUGCAUAGAUAUCACGCAGAACCCCGAUUGCGAAGGCAGCGUUCCAUCGCGCCACUGACGCUGAGGCACGAAAGCGUGGGGAUCGAACAGGAUUAGAUACCCUGGUAGUCCACGCAGUAAACGAUGACUACUAGUUUUUCGGCACGAUUGGGUGCGGAGAGACACAGCGAAAGCGUUAAGUAGUCCACCUGGGGAGUACGCCGGCAACGGUGAAACUCAAAGGAAUUGACGGGGGCCCGCACAAGCGGAGGAACAUGUGGUUUAAUUCGAUGAUACGCGAGGAACCUUACCCGGGCUCAAACGACAGGGGACGGCAGAUGAAAGUUUGCUUCCAGCAAUGGCCGCUGUCGAGGUGCUGCAUGGUUGUCGUCAGCUCGUGCCGUGAGGUGUCGGCUUAAGUGCCAUAACGAGCGCAACCCCCAUCUUCAGUUGCCAUCGGGCGAUGCCGGGCACUCUGGAGAGACUGCCAGCGCAAGCUGUGAGGAAGGCGGGGAUGACGUCAAAUCAGCACGGCCCUUACGUCCGGGGCGACACACGUGUUACAAUGGCGGAGAACAGAGGGGAGCCAGGUGGCGACACCGAGCCGAUCCCGAAAAUCCGUCUCAGUUCGGAUCGGAGUCUGCAACCCGACUCCGUGAAGCUGGAUUCGCUAGUAAUCGCGCAUCAGCCAUGGCGCGGUGAAUACGUUCCCGGGCCUUGCACUCACCGCCCGUCA
rnacentral:rRNA from 1 species